AUACGUAGGGGACGAGCGUUGUCCGGAAUUACUGGGCGUAAAGGGCGCGCAGGCGGAUAUUUAAGUCAGCUGUAAAAGGCAUGAGCUCAACUCAUGUAUGCGGUUGAAACUGGGUAUCUAGAGUGCUGGAGAGGUAGGCGGAAUUCCCGGGGUAGCGGUGAAAUGCGUAGAUAUCGGGAAGAACACCAGUGGCGAAGGCGGCUUACUGGCCAGCAACUGACGCUGAGGCGCGAAAGCCAGGGGAGCGAACGGGAUUAGAUACCCCGGUAGUCCUGGCCGUAAACGAUGAAUGCUAGGUGUGGGUGUCGAGAGGCAUCCGUGCCGGAGUUAACGCGAUAAGCAUUCCGCCUGGGGAGUACGAUCGCAAGAUUGAAACUCAAAGGAAUUGACGG
rnacentral:rRNA from 1 species